UAAGCCUGGGAAACUGGGUCUAAUACCGGGAUAUGACUCCAUGACGCAUGUUGUGGGGUGGAAAGCCUUGUGCGGCUAGGGAUGGGCCCGCGGCCUAUCAGCUUGUUGGUGGGGUGAUGGCCUACCAAGGCGACGACGGGUAGCCGGCCUGAGAGGGCGACCGGCCACACUGGGACUGAGACACGGCCCAGACUCCUACGGGAGGCAGCAGUGGGGAAUCUUGCGCAAUGGGCGAAAGCCUGACGCAGCGACGCCGCGUGAGGGAUGACGGCCUUCGGGUUGUAAACCUCUUUCAGCUCCGACGAAGCGGAAGUGACGGUAGGAGCAGAAGAAGCACCGGCCAACUACGUGCCAGCAGCCGCGGUAAUACGUAGGGUGCAAGCGUUGUCCGGAAUUAUUGGGCGUAAAGAGCUCGUAGGCGGUUUGUCGCGUCGGCUGUGAAAACUCGGGGCUCAACUCCGAGCUUGCAGUCGAUACGGGCAGACUAGAGUUCGGCAGGGGAGACUGGAAUUCCUGGUGUAGCGGUGAAAUGCGCAGAUAUCAGGAGGAACACCGGUGGCGAAGGCGGGUCUCUGGGCCGAUACUGACGCUGAGGAGCG
rnacentral:rRNA from 1 species